rnacentral:lncRNA from 1 species
GGCCAUAAACCAACGUGACCAAUUAGAGAUUAGUCUCAUUGACUGUGGGAUCGAGUCUUGGUGGGUAUUUAUGAGUUUCACAGUCAUAGCAUUCAGGUAACAACCAUCUUUAAAAUUGAUUCCUUUCUCCUUUAACCUCCUUAAAACUAUAGUAAAAAAAAAAAAGGAAAAAAAAAAAAGAAGAAAAAUAACAGUCGUAUCCCUGGUGGGGAAUUCCACAUUAAGGACAACAGGAGGUCAAGCUUGACCUUUGCCCUUCCAUUUGUUUGCAUUUCUGCUGCCAUCAUGGGGUGGCUGGCGAAGGUGGGCUCUCGCUAGUCUUUGUGGUGAGAGUUAAUCCCGUUUCACUGGUGGUAUUUUUGAUGACUAUAAGGGAAGGGUGGGAAGAAGUCUGAAUCACAGCCUGAGAGUCCCGUUCAUCACGAUGUCGAUAGCUUUCCUACACAGAGUGAGCAUGGCCGUCCUGAUGUCCCUUAGUGGUGUGUACCUCACUCAAGCUUAGCUUUCUCGGGAUGCUUUAGGGCGCAGGGAAUGAAGAAGACCGAGAGAAGUCAAAAUACAAACAAAAACAGCCCAAAAUUCUCUGUACUAAUGAUUUGCAAAGCUUGAAUCAGACCACCUGGGCAGUCUGUGUUCUUAUCCCAAGUUCUGAACAUGAGAAACCAUUGCCCGGUGUCAGACACUGCUUUUUCCAGAGCAGGGAGGGACAGCUGGAGGAACAGCUAUGGCACUCUGGCCCAGUGCACCACGUAUAAGAUCUGAGGGCGUGAGGUCGGAACCAGAGAGACCCAACAACCCAAGGUCCCCAUACAAUGUCUUUAGACCAUGGUCACUGACUCCAGGGACCCACCCAGGGUGAUGUGUGGAGUGAUAACUGCUAUCUGAUCCUUAGGCGUCCACAAGACUAGUGCCUUCCACAGAUAUUAGCUUCUGGAGACCUGGGCUGGUUUAGGAAAGGGAGAAAAACCCUUUCCCAGGCUCCAGGCACUGCACUCUGCCAUCUUGGAUCCAGCCUUUCAGAAGUGAACCUCGCUUCCCUAUGUAAGCUUUCUAGAAUCUUCCCUUUAAGGAGGUCAUAUAGCCAUUGUGUAUUUCUUAGAAAGGGUGGGUGAGGAUGAACUCCUUCUGAUGUCUAAAGUUGUUCCCUUUCUCUACUCCUUUUUGGAGUGGCGCACAGGUAGAUGUCAUAUGUCACAGACAUGUCAUUGUAAGCAGAACCAACCUCAUGGUUUUGUAUUAUCAUUUGCAGCAAAAUAUGCAGAGAUAUUUUGCUCUCAGUAUUUGGGUACCUAGUGAUUGCUUUGUUUUAUUGAAGAAUUCUUGUGCGUGAUUCCCACUUUUGACUCCAGUAAAAUGUUGCAAGGUGUAAACCAGGAUUUCCUUAUCCUUCCUUUGUGCACUAAACCUUUGAGGGCCCUGCUGAACUGUGGGUGCGAGGUAAAGGAUUCGGGAAGAGGCCCAUGAUCCUAAGUAGCUAGUGAGCUCCUGACAUGGCUGGUUCAUGGACCACUCUUUGAGUGGAGAGGAUGUUUUGUAAGGAUCGAUUAGAGGAACUAUUCAAACAUUCUUCCAGAGCACUCCACUAGGUCCUCAAGGAUAGCAGAUCGUAGUAACAAUUAAAGUGCAGACUAGACCGUGCUCUGACAGGCAUUCUUCUUGGGUUUGGCAACAAGUAGAAUGGAUUUGGUAGAUGGUUAUAAAGGUUUUAGAAAGGGAAGGAGAUGGAGACCAUGGCCACAUACACACACAUCUACAGCACGGGGUCAGCAGAGGGGUCUCCAGUGGCUGUGGUGUAUCCUAUUCAGCUUACAGGCCUGAAAUAAAGAUGAACUAGAUCCCCCAGUGGCUCUUGCUGGAAUUCAAUCCUACAUGCAGAAAAGCUCUCCACAAGCAGGCAGAUGUUCAUGGUGACAGUCGUGAGACCAGAAGCAAGCAUGGGCUUCUUUUUCAGGGAGGCCCUGAAAUGAUCACUAAGAGCUGAAAAAUAAACUAGUUUUUUGCCACAAGGCAGGGAUUUGGACCUGUCAUGACUAGCUUCUGACCAAAUAGAGCAAAUUUGGAGAACUCUAAGGGCCAGAUGUUUCUUAAGCGUGAGCACUCUGACUGGGGUCAGAUGGUCCCAUCCACGUCAGCACACCAGCAAUUCAAUAUGUCCGCCUUGGAGCAGACCGACAAGAACUCGAUGAUGACACUCUUAUUUUGAAGCUUGUGAUUCUUUAGGCGUUGCAGAGAGUGUCUCUCUGGCCCACUCAUCCAGGAAGACUGUCACAGCUCCAGGAUGCUCAUUCACACAGCAGUGGGAGUUGGUGACUUCUGCUCCCUUAUUCAGAAGCAGUUGUCUCCUAUGCAAAAACUCGCGUCAGGGACAAACUAUAAAUAUCGGAAGUGUUUUCCCACAGUUUCUCCCAGUGCUGUUUUGUCAAAAGAUUCAUGAUGUGGGGUGAACUGGCGCUCUCUCUGCUGCACUUAGAAAGGCCCCAAAGUAGCAGAUCUAGGGACGGAGUGUUCAAGUCAAGGAACACAGCGAGAGUAAAUUUCUCCUGGAGUUCCACAGAAGAGUAGAAUGUGAAGCCCAUGCUGUUUCAAUCACCAGGACCUGUUCCUUGUCCUGGGGCUAAAACUACAGAGCCAUAGAUUCUUUCUUGCCUUGAGAAACCAAGGAGAAGAUGGUUUGGGCACAAGCCUUAGAUAACCAGAGUAAUUAAGAUUCAUCCUUACAGUUCUUCUAAUCUCCAGAGUACUAAGGUUAAUUGGUUACACCUUCCUCGCUCAUCCUUGGGAAGACUCCAUUCUAACAGGAAAGAAGAGACUCAAAGCUCUCAGCAAAUUGGUGGCUGUCAGACUCUGGGCUUAGUCUCCUCGUCCCCCUCCGAGGGGGCAGCCUGGCCAGCAGAGGCUGCUGGCCACAUGUCAGAAGCAUGCUGAUCCAAAGCCAGGACUGUCCACUAGAGAAGAAGGAAUAUGCAAUUUGCUCUUCCUACUGCAAGGGUUUCUUUGGGAUCGUUUUAAAGAUCCUGGAAUCUGCAAGAUAACACUGAAGGAAAAGACUAGUUUGAGGAGUAUUUGAGGGGUUGGAGGCUAGAGGAUGGCUCAGCAAGCAGGUCAGUCCUCAGCACCUACAGUGUGGCUCACAACCAUCUGUCAUGCCAGUUUCAGGGGAUACGAGGCUCUCCUCUCACCUCCUCAAGCACCAUGGGUGAGGUGCACAGACAUGCAUGUAGGGCAAACAGUAAGACACGUAAAAUAAAUCAAUCUUAGAAAUUAAGACAUUAGCGAGCUU